rnacentral:rRNA from 1 species
UACGUAGGGUGCAAGCGUUGUCCGGAAUUAUUGGGCGUAAAGGGCUCGUAGGCGGUCCAUCGCGUCGGGAGUGAAAAGCUGGGGCUUAACCCCAGUCCUGCUUCCGAUACGGGUGGACUAGAGGUAGGCAGGGGAGAACGGAAUUCCUGGUGUAGCGGUGAAAUUCGUAGAUAUCAGGAGGAACACCGAUGGCGAAGGCAGCUCGCUGGGACGGUACUGACGCUGAGGAGCGAAAGCAUGGGGAGCGAACAGG